GAUGAAGAACGCAGCGAAAUGCGAUACGUAAUGUGAAUUGCAGAAUUCAGUGAAUCAUCGAAUCUUUGAACGCAUAUUGCGCUCUCUGGUAUUCCGGAGAGCAUGCUUGUUUGAGUAUCAGUAAAUACCUCAACUUCCAUAUCUUUUUUGAAAUGGGAGUUGGACUUGAGUGAUCCCAACGCUUUUCCUCACCGAAAAGUGGCGGGUUACUUGAAAUGCAGGUGCAGCUGGACUUUUCUCUGAGCUAUAAGCAUAUCUAUUUAGUCUGCCUAAAAAACAGAUUAUUACCUUUGCUGCAGCUAACAUAAAGGAGAUUAGUUCUUGUGCUGACUGAUGCAGGAUUCACAAAGACAGGCUUCGGCCGACUUUGUAAACUCGAUCUCAAAUCAAGUAAGACUACCCGCUGAACUUAAGCAUAUCAAUAAGCGGAGGA
rnacentral:misc_RNA from 1 species